GAGGGUGAAUCACUGGUUCUCUCCAGAACUCUGUAAUGUUGUCCUUUAGUUCUCUCUCUGUCUGUGCAGCAGAUCCUCACAUCUCUCCUUUCUUCUAUCACUUCCUGAUAAUGAUUAUCAGGAUACUCUCUCCAUUCAUUGUCCUCUCCGUUGUCUGCUGUUAUGCAGAGAUUUCAAGCUCUUCAUGUUGUCUCCCCUCCACUAGACCGUCAGAAUGAAGCAAACCGAGCCACAAAGAGACAGAGAGAGAUGACCACUG